ACCCGCAGUUCUCGUCUGGUGUCCCACUGAAGCUAAGCAGGGUUGAGCCUGGCCUGUACCUGGACGGGAGACCUCCUGGGGAAAACUAAGGCUGCCGAUG
rnacentral:rRNA from 1 species